rnacentral:rRNA from 1 species
AUUGAACGCUGGCGGCAGGCCUAACACAUGCAAGUCGAACGGUAACAGGAAGAAGCUUGCUUCUUUGCUGACGAGUGGCGGACGGGUGAGUAAUGUCUGGGAAACUGCCUGAUGGAGGGGGAUAACUACUGGAAACGGUAGCUAAUACCGCAUAACGUCGCAAGACCAAAGAGGGGGACCUUCGGGCCUCUUGCCAUCGGAUGUGCCCAGAUGGGAUUAGCUAGUAGGUGGGGUAACGGCUCACCUAGGCGACGAUCCCUAGCUGGUCUGAGAGGAUGACCAGCCACACUGGAGCUGAGACACGGUCCAGACUCCUACGGGAGGCAGCAGUGGGGAAUAUUGCACAAUGGGCGCAAGCCUGAUGCAGCCAUGCCGCGUGUAUGAAGAAGGCCUUCGGGUUGUAAAGUACUUUCAGCGGGGAGGAAGGGAGUAAAGUUAAUACCUUGGCUCAUUGACGUUACCCGCAGAAGAAGCACCGGCUAACUCCGUG